CACGUGACCGCGGCCAGAGCGUGGACGCCGACCGCGGGGAGCUCGAGGAGCGGCGAGUGGCCGAACCGGACCCGCCAUUCAACUUCAACUUUGUCCGUGACACUCUUCUCAAGUACGAGCGCGUGGACGACUGGCUGAAGGACGUACUCCACGAGCUUCGCAAGCUGGUUCGCUGGAAGCGCCCGUUCCGCACAGGCCUGUUCCUCACGGUG